UAGAGUUUGAUCCUGGCUCAGGAUGAACGCUGGCGGCGUGCCUAAUACAUGCAAGUCGAGCGAACUGAUUAGAAGCUUGCUUCUAUGACGUUAGCGGCGGACGGGUGAGUAACACGUGGGCAACCUGCCUGUAAGACUGGGAUAACUUCGGGAAACCGAAGCUAAUACCGGAUAGGAUCUUCUCCUUCAUGGGAGAUGAUUGAAAGAUGGUUUCGGCUAUCACUUACAGAUGGGCCCGCGGUGCAUUAGCUAGUUGGUGAGGUAACGGCUCACCAAGGCAACGAUGCAUAGCCGACCUGAGAGGGUGAUCGGCCACACUGGGACUGAGACACGGCCCAGACUCCUACGGGAGGCAGCAGUAGGGAAUCUUCCGCAAUGGACGAAAGUCUGACGGAGCAACGCCGCGUGAGUGAUGAAGGCUUUCGGGUCGUAAAACUCUGUUGUUAGGGAAGAACAAGUACAAGAGUAACUGCUUGUACCUUGACGGUACCUAACCAGAAAGCCACGGCUAACUACGUGCCAGCAGCCCCGGUCAA
rnacentral:rRNA from 1 species